AUGGUCGGAUGCGAGGUCGCUGAGGUCGGCGUCGUACUCGGCGACUGUGAAGGUGACGCCGUCCCCGGGCUCGUAGAAGAUGUCGGGGCGGCCGUUGGCGGUGGUGGCGCGGAGGCGGCCGGCAAGCGGGAAGAAGGCGCGGAGGGCCGUGGAGAGCGAGGCCUUGAGGCUGGAGACGACGAGGUCGGCAUGGGCGGCGCCGAUGUGGUAGAAGAAGAUGCGCUCGACGGGCGGGGAAUGGAUCCACUGCAGGUCCAGGAAGGUGAGCGGGAGGGAGGACGGCGGCAGCGGCGGGCCGGACGGUGUGACGACGGCGGUGUCGACGACGCGGAGGCGGGAGGAGGACGAGUCACGUGCCAUUGCUGGGGAAUCGAUGGAGGAGCCGACUCUCUUGGAAGAAGAUGGAUAGUUGGAAGGAAAUGGGAAUGGAAAUCCAAUCGUUCAGCUUUGCGUUUCUGGAGAAGAACAACGGGAUGGAUGUGUGACAUGACAUGUGCGGGUUCCGUCCCUUCCCGUCCUAGGUUUACUACCGUACGUAUCAAUACCAGCCACCCGUUGCAACCUCACAUCUCUCAUUUUUCCCAGUUAAUUCUCUCAUUAAAGGCUUUGUUCGGUUGUUGGGGUUCCCUUCCCCACGGCCACGGAGGAACCAACCCCCUACAGGAGGGAUCUGGCGCCUGCUCCCUCUCUAUGCUUUCAUUCAUGCUUUCACUUCACUAG
rnacentral:rRNA from 1 species